GGGCGCUUAGCUCAGUUGGUAGAGCGUCUGCCUUACAAGCAGAAUGUCGGCGGUUCGAUCCCGUCAGAGCCCACCA
rnacentral:tRNA from 1 species